AAUAUAUUCCAGAGCUUGGGGAGUUCAUUUUUAAAAGGAACUAGUUGUAGGAGCUGUUUCCUAUAUACGUCCAUCCUUUUACAAAACUAGCUGGCUCAGUUCAUAGUCCAAUUCAAGUUCGUCCAAAUGAACCCUGCAAAAAAUAAUAAUUCAGCAUUCAGAAUGUUACAGGCCACUGUGCUAACGUAUUAAUUACCUUGUUACUGUGUGAUUCCACACCAUUUCAUUGCAAAGGGAACAUCAGAAAAAUGGUGGUGAUGAGGGAGGACCAUAAUUUAUGUAUCAUUUGCAUAUGGAAAAAACAGUAGCAGAUUGUAUUCGCUUGCCUAAUUUUUGUUCCUGACCACAGACGAACAUGCAAACUGAGGCCAUUUCUGUUUCUAUUUCCACUUGGAGUAUAAUUUUUCCGCCAUCUCUGCUUUCACAAGAAGCAUCCAUUUCUUCUUGUCACGUGGUCUAAUCCUGACAUAAGUCCACUGUUUUCAAAAGAAGGAAGCCUUGAGCUGCAGUCUCACACCCACUUCCCUGGGGGUGAGUCCCAUUGAACUUAAUGGGGCUAACUUUUGAGCCAGCGUGAGCUGUCAGAUGGCAGUCGUAUGCCUACUUACCUGGAAGUAAAUACGUUGGAACUUACUUUUUAGUAAGCAUGCUUAGGAUUAUGCCACAUCUAUCUCUCACUGGACUCAGUAGGAGAGGUACCGUGUCUUUAAAAAGUAACAUUCCUUUCAAAUGACAUUUUUAUUCGGCAUUCAUGAUGGUUUGUACUUAUGAUGAUAUUGAAGUAUUAAAUGGGAUUUUGCUUUCGACGAUAUUUGUACCUGCAUGUUUCGGAGUGGUCAUAAAGACCCCCCAAGUGUCCCUAUUUUCCAGGCACAAUCCUGGAUUUCUGAUUUCUGGGGGUUGGACUCGAUGGCCCUUGUGGUCUCUUCCAACUCUAUGAUUCUAUGAUUUGAAGCCAUCCCUGUUUCUGAUUUAAUCAGAAUGUCCUGCUUUUCCUUAGGACGUCCUUAUUUUCAUCAGACAAAUUUUGGCGGGCAUGGACUAGGUACAGGGGUCAGCAAACUUUUUCAGCAGGGGGCCGGUCCACUGUCCCUCAGACCUUGUGGGGGGCCGGACUAUAUUUUGAAGAAAAAAAAUGAACAAAUUCCUAUGCCCCACAAAUAACCCAGAGAUGCAUUUUAAAUAAAAACACACAUUCUGCUCAUGUAAAAACACCAGGCAGGCCCCACAAAUAACCCAAAGAUGCAUUUUAAAUAAAAGGACAUAUUCUACUCAUGUAAAAACACGCUGAUUCCCAGACCAUCCGUGGGCCGGAUUUAGAAGGUGAUUGGGCCGGAUCUGGCCCCCGGGCCUUAGUUUGCCUACCCAUGGACCAGGAUGUCCCUAGGGCUUUUCUCCAGCUAGAACUCACCAGUACAGUGGUACCUCGGGUUACAUACACUUCAGGUUACAUAAGCUUCAGGUUACAGACUCCGCUAACCCAGAAAUAGUACCUCGGGUUAAGAACUUUGCUUCAGGAUGAGAACAGAAAUCGUGCUCCGGCAGCGCAGCGGCAGCAGGGGGCCCCAUUAGCUAAAGUGGUGCUUCAGGUUAAGAACAGUUUCAGGUUAAGAAUGGACCUCCGGAAUGAAUUAAGUACUUAACCUGAGGUACCACUGUACUCAGUUCCAGUACCUCUCGGGUACCAUUCUAAGAGAACAAACGAAGUGUUUAUGGUGAGUUGCAGCACCUUUCCCCCUAGAAAAAUAACACUGGACAUCCCUAUUUUCAUCGGAGAGAUGCUGCAGGGUAUGGUCAUAGUGUUUUGUUUCUAGUUAGCACAUGCUCUGCAGCUUCGUGCUGAAAUCAUGUAGCUUUUUAUACCACAACUGUUCCGGCGUUGUUUUUGUUUUGACCUGCUUUGGUUGCACUAUAGUGCAAGAGUCCAUUUCCAGAUGGCAAUGACACAAUCACAUUGGGAAGUGCCCCAGAACAUCUAACAAAGCAGAAUGACAUUUGAACAGCCACAAUUAUUGCAUCAUUAUUGUAUCAGUACACUGGUUGUUGCAGUGUACACUCGCAAAAAUCACCAGUCUGGAUGGGCCCUGAUGGUGCAAUCCUAUAUAUCGUCCCAGAAGCAGGUCCCAUUGUGUUCAGUAUACAUGUCUACUGAAAAGUAAGUCCCAUUCAAAGGAGAUUGACUCUAAUACUUUUGACUUCAAUCCUGUACCUUGGAAUGAGCCCAAGUGAAUUGAAUGGGACUUCUGAGUUGACAUUAUGGGUUUCCUCUGUGAAGCAUGCCUUCAAUUGUAGUGGAACACUAUGCUUGCCUCAUCUCUUAAUUUUACAACUAUUGAAAAAGGUCGUCUUCUUCUUCUUUGGCAACCAUUCGUUGCUGAGUAAGAUUGUCUUCCAUUAACACGGUUUUAAAAGUGAGUCUGUAAGUGACUGUGGAGGCCAAUUCUGAAUCCAAAUGUUCUUCCACAGUGCGGACAUUGGUUUCUGGGUGGGAGUUGAUCACAGUGAGGGCUUGCCAAGCGUACCUUCCUCUUAGCAUGUUUCUCCCUUUUGUCCUGAGUUUUGAGUGUCUUCAAAACCCAUGACACUUUUGGUAAAGGCUGUUCUCCAACUGGAGCACUCGCAGGCCAGUGUUUCCCAGUUGUCGGUAAAAGGUAACCCAGUAGCGAUAGCAUACAUAUUGGGUAUAUUUUCAUGCCACUGUUCUGUCACACUGUGGUAGUCAUGGCAUUCCCAGUGUGAUUCAAGAAGG